GACGAACGCUGGCGGCGUGCUUAACACAUGCAAGUCGAACGGAAAGGCCCUGCUUUUGUGGGGUGCUCGAGUGGCGAACGGGUGAGUAACACGUGAGUAACCUGCCCUUGACUUUGGGAUAACUUCAGGAAACUGGGGCUAAUACCGGAUAGGAGCUCCUGCUGCAUGGUGGGGGUUGGAAAGUUUCGGCGGGUGGGGAUGGACUCGCGGCUUAUCAGCUUGUUGGUGGGGUAGUGGCUUACCAAGGGUUUGACGGGUAGCCGGCCUGAGAGGGUGAACGGCCACAAUGGGACUGAGGUACGGCCCAGACUCCUACGGGAGGCAGCAGUGGGGAGUAUUGCACAAUGGGCGGAAGCCUGAUGCAGCAACGCCGCGUGCGGGAUGACGGCCUUCGGGUUGUAAACCGCUUUCGCCUGUGACGAAGCGUGAGUGACGGUAAUGGGUAAAGAAGCACCGGCUAACUACGUG
rnacentral:rRNA from 1 species